UAUUAGGUUGGUGCAAAAGUAAUUGCAGUUUUUGCCAUUAGCUGUAAAGGCACAAACUGCAAUUACUUUUGCACCAUCCUAAUA
rnacentral:miRNA from 1 species